CUCUGUGCCGGGAUUUAAACAUGGGUUCUCAGGUCUUCUGAGAAGCAGACACCAGUACAGAACCUGAUUCUGCAAAAGAUCAAUGUGCAAAAGAUAUAUCGGGGAAAUGUCAAUGGAGGACAAAGGGAAGAAGAACCAUGAGUAGAGAGAGUCUUGCUCUGUCACCCAGACUGGAGUGCAAUGGCGCGAUCUCGGCUCACUACAACCUCCGCCUCCCAGGCUCAAGCGAUUCUCAUGCCUCAGCCUCCUGAGUAGCUGGGACCACAGGUGUGCACCACCAUGCCUGGGUAAUUUGAUUUUUCAGUUUGUUCAGCUUUUUACUCGUUAGGACAGAGUGGUAACUUCCAAAUUUCUUAUGUGCUGAACCAGAAACUGUCUUGUUAGUUUUUUAGGAUUCACCUUAAGUCUUUUCCUCCAGGGAGCCUUCCCCAACUUUGAAGUCUGCAUUAGGGACCCCUAUGAUGCGCUCCUGUAGGCACUUUUUGUUUUCCAGAGCUUCUAUACUUAUGUAUUGUGAUUGUCAACUCACUUCUCAGAUUCCCCCUUUAGACUGUUAGCUCUGGGUGGAAAGGACAGUCUGCUUUUUUCAUUCUUGUAUUCUCAGCACCAUCCAGCAAUGCUUGGCAUAUAAUAGGUAUUGAAUAAAUAUGUGUUGGGUGAAUAAAAGAAUGAAUGA
rnacentral:lncRNA from 13 species